ACUCCAUAGAGAAAGAUACGACCGAACAUGAUAUCGAAAACAAGGUAUCGUGGGAGAUGGAUUUUAGGCGGCAGAUCACUAAUGUGGUGGCGCGAGAGGACAUCCAGCAUGCUGAGAGACAUGAAACACAGGCUUGGUGGCGAGAUCAGCUGCGUCGUUCAGGAUUUCAUCCUGUUCGCCAGUGGUUCAAUCAUACAAGGGGUUUUCUUUUCAGUGACUUGACUCAAUACACUAUAGAAGGAAAGAAUGGAUGUCCCUUACUACGUCGAUACACUGUCCCUCUAGUUAUCACAUCGGCAUGGAAACCCGAACUUGCUCAGUCUGAUGGAGGAUCGGACAACAAGGAGAACGUGGGCAGUCCAGAAUCCAUGUUGUUAGGUCUCGAGUUCAAUGAUCUUAGCAUAAUACAAAAUGAAUGCGAGGAAGAAGGUGAUCCUACUAUCAUGAGAGAAGGAAAUGUGUGGUCUUGAGAGUGCCCCUCAAUCAAUGAGAUUGCUGCUUCAGCUGAGAUAUUU